UACGAAGGGGGCUAGCGUUGCUCGGAAUCACUGGGCGUAAAGCGCACGUAGGCGGGUCGUUAAGUCGGGGGUGAAAUCCUGGAGCUCAACUCCAGAACUGCCUUCGAAACUGGCGAACUAGAAUCUGGCAGAGGGGGGUGGAAUUCCACGUGUAGCAGUGAAAUGCGUAGAGAUGUGGAGGAACAUCGAUGGCGAAGGCAGCCCCCUGGGCUGAGAUUGACGCUCAGGCACGAAAGCGUGAGGAGCAAACAGG
rnacentral:rRNA from 1 species